rnacentral:rRNA from 1 species
UUGUGCGGGUUCUAUACAUGCAAGUCGAGCGAAUGGAUUAAGAGCUUGCUCUUAUGAAGUUAGCGGCGGACGGGUGAGUAACACGUGGGUAACCUGCCCAUAAGACUGGGAUAACUCCGGGAAACCGGGGCUAAUACCGGAUAACAUUUUGAACCGCAUGGUUCGAAAUUGAAAGGCGGCUUCGGCUGUCACUUAUGGAUGGACCCGCGUCGCAUUAGCUAGUUGGUGAGGUAACGGCUCACCAAGGCAACGAUGCGUAGCCGACCUGAGAGGGUGAUCGGCCACACUGGGACUGAGACACGGCCCAGACUCCUACGGGAGGCAGCAGUAGGGAAUCUUCCGCAAUGGACGAAAGUCUGACGGAGCAACGCCGCGUGAGUGAUGAAGGCUUUCGGGUCGUAAAACUCUGUUGUUAGGGAAGAACAAGUGCUAGUUGAAUAAGCUGGCACCUUGACGGUACCUAACCAGAGAGCCACGGCUAACUACGUGCCAGCAGCCGCGGUAAUACGUAGGUGGCAAGCGUUAUCCGGAAUUAUUGGGCGUAAAGCGCGCGCAGGUGGUUUCUUAAGUCUGAUGUGAAAGCCCCACGGCUCAACCGUGGAGGGUCAUUGGAAACUGGGAGACUUGAGUGCAGAAGAGGAAAAGUGGAAUUCCAUGUGUAGCGGUGAAAUGCGUAGAGAUAUGGGAGGAAACACCAGUGGCGAAGGCGACUUUUCUGGUCUGUAACUGACACUGAGGGCGGCGAAA